AACUUUCGUUCGGACCUCCGAUCAAGCAAGAGGACCCGCUGAAUUUAAG
rnacentral:rRNA from 1 species